GGGUGCUUGAGGCUAUCUGGGCUUUGAGCAUUUGUAAGGUCCCGGAAAGACAAAAGCCCCAGGAGAUAGUUCUAUCAACCUGAGGCUAGCGUACAAACCUGAACAAUUUGGAUGUUAGUCUCUUCUUUGCAGGGAGGCAAGACAUGCUGACAAAAUAUG
rfam:Escherichia coli ISC11, WGS project CBWP01000000 data, contig: c3